CUGGACCCAUAGUUAUAUGGUCAAAAGGCUCUGGUUAAUAGUAGUGCUAUAAAUAGGGAAUAGGGUGCCAUUUAGGCCUGAUUUGAUGACAUGAUGAUGGCUAGUAAUUCCACUAUUAACAACAACAAACGAACAUGCUCCUCUGAAACCAAACCUUUUCUUUAGGUUUAAUUGAAGAUAUUGGUACAUUAUGCAGACACAUAAAUAAAAUGUGAUAUCAUACAAUAUAAACACAAUUCAAUUACAAGAUCAGCCUAACUACAUGGACAGAUGUUUGGUGUCUUGUAGUAUUUCUUCAACUUAGAGAAAAUAAUCCUUUAUUGUUUAUUCAUUAAGAUCAUGAUCCCACCCUGGACCAGGAGGACCCAGUCCUUGUUCAGGUAAGAAUACUGUAGGCCUAUCAAUAGUCUGGGUACCGGUCGGUUUCUGCUCUCUUGCCAAUUCCAUUGUGGCAAAAUGAUAUUUGCAUGACAAUCCCAUAAGAAGUUGUCAGAGAGCUGAAACCGCCUGGCACCCAGGCUAUAACAAUACUGCUUCAUUAUCAGGACUGGUUCAAUAACAAUCUGACAUUCAAACUGUAAUUUUACUGACUUGAAAAUGGAUCCUGAUUUAUUCCUUAGGUUGUGGAUGAGGAGGUUGGGCAGCGUCCCUGUCUGGCUUUAGUCCCUUGGUCUGGACCUCUGUGGGUUCCCAGCUCUCUGACUUAUUACCUUACCCUUGCUGGGAGGAUGAUAGUGAGAGAGCUGGCAGUGUUAAACACACAGAUUUUCAUGAUGGAGCAGCCUAUUUCCAUCUGUUUCACUCCUGUAGGGAGGAUGGUGUGGGAGGAACUGACUUCUCAAACUGAACAGGUAGCCAUUCAUAUGCAGAUACUU